rnacentral:rRNA from 1 species
AUGCCAUGCAUAGUUAAACCGGACGUGCAUCAUCCUUGGUUGUGCAUCAUGCCAUGUUUAUGCUUGUGUGUUUACCAUGUUGUUUGCUUCUUUCCGGUUUGCUUCUCUCGUUAUCUUCGGUUUCGUUCUGGAGUUGUGAGGAUCUGUUCGACUACGUCCGUUUGUCUCCUUCAUGGACUCGUUCUUCUUCCUUGCGAGAUUUCAGUUGCAGGCACCGAGAAUACCAGUGGAGGUGACGCAACUGAGAUCAAGCGGGAGCUUGAUGAAGAUCUUGAUCGUUGUUUUGUGUCUUUUCCGGAUGAUCAGUAG